CCUACGGGAGGCAGCAGUGGGGAAUAUUGGGCAAUGGGCGAAAGCCUGACCCAGCCACGCCGCGUGAGUGAUGAAGGCCUUCGGGUCGUAAAGCUCUGUGGGGAGGGACGCGGUACCUCCUUAGCAAGCACCGGCUAACCAUGUGCCAGCAGCCGCGGUAAUACAUGGGGUGCAAACGUUGCUCGGAAUCAUUGGGCGUAAAGCGCGCGUAGGCGGUUAUUUAAGUUGGAUGUGAAAGCCCUCGGCUUAACUGAGGAAGUGCAUCCAAAACUGAAUAGCUAGAGUACGAAAGAGGGUCGCGGAAUUCCCGGUGUAGAGGUGAAAUUCGUAGAUAUCGGGAGGAACACCGGUGGCGAAGGCGGCGACCUGGUCAGACUGACGCUGAGGCGCGAAAGCGUGGGGAGCAAACAGGAUUAGAUACCCUUGUAGUC
rnacentral:rRNA from 1 species